rnacentral:rRNA from 1 species
GAUGAACGCUAGCUACAGGCUUAACACAUGCAAGUCGAGGGGCAGCAUGGUCUUAGCUUGCUAAGGCCGAUGGCGACCGGCGCACGGGUGAGUAACACGUAUCCAACCUGCCGUCUACUCUUGGACAGCCUUCUGAAAGGAAGAUUAAUACAAGAUGGCAUCAUGAGUCCGCAUGUUCACAUGAUUAAAGGUAUUCCGGUAGACGAUGGGGAUGCGUUCCAUUAGAUAGUAGGCGGGGUAACGGCCCACCUAGUCUUCGAUGGAUAGGGGUUCUGAGAGGAAGGUCCCCCACAUUGGAACUGAGACACGGUCCAAACUCCUACGGGAGGCAGCAGUGAGGAAUAUUGGUCAGUGGGCGCAGGCCUGAACCAGCCAAGUAGCGUGAAGGAUGACUGCCCUAUGGGUUGUAAACUUCUUUUAUAAAGGAAUAAAGUCGGGUAUGUAUACCCGUUUGCAUGUACUUUAUGAAUAAGGAUCGGCUAACUCCGUG